UACAGAGGGGGCGAGCGUUGUCCGGAAUCACUGGGCGUAAAGGGCGCGUAGGCGGCUCAUGAAGGCUGUGGUGAAAGUCCGGGGCUCAACCUCGGAUCGGCCGUGGCGACUCGUGGGCUGGAGCACUGUAGAGGCGGGUGGAAUUCCCGGUGUAGCAGUGAAAUGCGUAGAGAUCGGGAGGAACAUCCGUGGCGAAGGCGACUACCUGGACCAGCACUGACACUGAGGCACGAAAGCGUGGGGAGCAAACAGG
rnacentral:rRNA from 1 species